rfam:Camelus ferus unplaced genomic scaffold scaffold2578, whole genome shotgun sequence.
GGGUAUAGCUCAGUGGUAGAGCACAUGCUUAGCAUGCAUGAGGUCCUGGGUUCAAUCCCCAGUACGGCCA